rnacentral:scRNA from 1 species
AUACCAAAACAAAAGACAUUAUGUCCGACAUC